UUUUCCCCAAUUUUCCUCAACCGAGUGCUCCAAAUAAAGGCGUGAUAUGGGAAGGAAUCUCGAUUUCGUGGUCGUCCAUUCCUGCUGGUCAGGAAGCGCGCCACAGGAGGCUAAGCCAAGAUGUGGACAGAACAAGCUGCAGACCCUAUAGAAGCAAAAGGCCCAUUAAAGCUGCAGAUCCAGAGUUCUGGUGAGGUGGGAACCAGGAAGUGACUGUUGCCAUGGCAGGGAGUUGGCAACAACCUGCAUACCCAGGAGGACCCCAGAACAUCCUGAAGGACUCCCGAGUUCACCACUCGCCACAGUCACUUCGUCCAUUAACCCCAAACCUUUUCUGUUUUGUGAAAGGGUCUCAGGCUGGCCAUGAGUUGGGGAUAAAGGGGUCAGGAUUUCACUCUCGCCGAGCUGCCCUCAAACCCACAGUAAUCCUCCUGCCUCAGUCUCCCAAGUGUUGAGAUCACAGUUAAGGACGCUGGGCCGCAGGUCACGUCUAUGUUCCCCAGAAUGGCCCCGGAAGAAAUGUAUGAUGUCGAGCCGCAGCACCAGGUCGGACAGCGCCUCCUCCCACCUGUUUGAGGUCACCGCCACAAGUCUCCAGGGCUUUCUUGCAGUUGACGAAGGAGUAGCCUGUUUUCCGCCGCAGCUUCAUAAGGAGCUCCUUGCUGGAGGCAGAUGCCAACGAGGGGCCCGCGUGAAACGUGUGCCAUGGCUGGGACGACUGAAGCAGGACCGACCUCGCCUGAAGGGAGGAAGGAGAAAGGGAUGAGCAGUCGGGAGCGCCCGGGGCUGGACAGAGGCGAGGGGACACUUCCUCAGGGUGAGCCCUCGGGGGCACUGUGGGCCGGCCGGGUGGAAAGGCGUGGAUCGGGGAACGGGAAGGGCACGCUCACGGCGCCCGAGAGCGCAGGUUAGCCCCUGAGCCACGAGCCCUCACCGAGCGGCCGGUGCACGCGACCGGGAAGAAGCGCAGCGACCGCAGCACCGACAUUCUCUCUAGCAGCCGGACACGCCCGCGCGCCGGCGCACAGGUAAGACGCCGGCCUACGGCGUAGUGCGAGGGCCAAAACUCUUCCCGGACCGUGUCGGGAGAGGAUGCUGCCACCUGCAGACCGGAGGAAUAUAAUCGCCUCUUCGGCUUGACUUUUUAAAACUGUAUCAGAAAAGAUUUAGACCUCAGUGGGUAAAACAGAAAGACGACACGAUAACAUUGUCACAAAAUAACAACACAAAACAUGUAGGCAAUAGUUUAUGUUUCUUUAUUUCCAAUUUUCAUUUUCAGUAUUCAUUUAUGACUCAGGACAAAGGGGAAGCAGGUAGGUGGGCUCAGGAAACUAUCCAGUCACCUGAAGAGGUAGCGUGGAGUUCCUUCAACAAACCGAAUAUAUAAUUACUGAAUCAGCAAACUAUCUUCUGAACACCAAUGUGCAUGGGGCUCUUGUCAGUUUCAGGGGAUUAGUGAUGAAUAAAUCACAGACAGCCCUGUGCCCCAAGGCAUCUAUUGGUGAGGAAAUAGAAUCAGGUAGGGCAAGAUAAGGUCCCUAAACAGAUAAAGAUCUCUCAAGAAGGAAGUCACAGCCAAACUGAA